ACACACACACACACAUAUAUAUUACACACACAUAUUGCGUGGCCUUUGAGUCCAAAUUCAACCUAAAUCAAGUUUGUAUAUAUAAAUGUGUGCAUAGAAUCAUACAUACAGUUACAUGUAUGCAUGUAAAUAUAUGUGUGCGUGUGUAUCCAUUUAUAUAUAUAUAUAUAUGUAUGUAUCUAUGUAUGUAUAUGUACAUGAAUGUUUAUUUCCAUAUCAACAAUGUCACACAGUAUGCUUCUAUGCAUCAAAUUGAUUAAUCUACUGAAAAGGAGAGUUUUAAUGCAUUCGUCGAGCACGGAUGUGGUUUUAAUGUCCGUAUCGUGCAGACGGGUUUAAACAUGAUUAUUUAUGUAUUCCGUAUUUCCCGUAUAUACCGUGUUUGCGUAUGUAUGAUUGUGUUCUUGCGUAUAGCGAUUCGGAUUUUAUAUCAUGUCGUAAUGUAAGUAUGAUGAUUGUCUGCGUAUGUAUGUUGGGGCGUGUUUGUAAGUCUAAUCGUGUUUGAAUGUGUAUACAUGAGUACCAUAUCUGACAGCAGCGGCAGCACUUUUUCACACAAGUCAUCUGUUAAUCAAUCAACCAUUUUGAUUACCUCAUUGACAUUCAAUUCACACAUUUCGCUCGCUCACAACAUUAAACAAAAGCAAACAAAUGUUUGUAUUUAUAAAUAAUUUUUGAAAAAAAAGUAACCAAAAUAUGUGAGGAUGUUUUUUAUUAAAUGUUACAAUCGAUUAUUCUUUCCUCUUUCACUUUAUUUUUAUCUCAUUGCUUGUGUACUUUUGUUUUUAUUCCUCAUGACUGAUUGGAUAUAUGAUUGAAGUAGGUAAGGAAUGUUUGAAUUAAGGAAGAUCUGAAUGCAUUAACGAACAGUCGAACGAACGAGUGAACAAGCGAAUGUUUUUUCUGUCUCAAAUCCACGAUUUUAUGUCCAAAAUUUUGAAGUUUUACUUUUUAUAAUUUAUAUAUAUUGAAGGUGUAAAUGAGAAACGUCAGUGAAUUCGUUAUCUUUUAUUUCUUUAAAUACUUAUUUAUUUAUUAUUUGUUUAUUAGACAUUCGGCAUAUAGGCUCAUAUGAAAUGCUUGUUCAAAUUAUGAAAUUUCGUCCUUUUCCACCAGAAGUUACGGGUAUCACAUGUAUGUAUAUGAGAUACCUAAACAAAUUUUUUGCGAAAAUAAUCAGUGCACCGCUUAUUCCAAACAGUGAUAUCCAAUCCCUAAUUUCGAAAAAAAAAGUAAAAAUCCAAAAAAAGCAAAAUAAAUAAGUUAAAAAUAAAGACAAAAAUACGAUUUAGAAAAAUAGUCCUUGCACAAAACCGAACACUUUAAUAUAGAUAGUGAUGCUUAAUUUUGAUAAAGCAUCAAUGUUCAGCUUCUUUAAAUUAUUUUCUAUUUCGUUGUGCUAUUUUUCAUGGUUUAACUUUCAAUCAAAGAAAAGAAAAGAAAAAAAAGCCUAAAUAAAAACAAGAAAAAAAGUCCCAAAAAAGCAGAACGGUAAAUAAUUCCUAUAUCAAAUUUUGGAUUAAUUUUUUUGUAAAUGAAGUGUUUAUCAGACAUUUAGAAUGAUAUACACAUAAAGAUGUUCUUUCAUCAGAUCAUAUUUUUCAUUGUAAACAAGGACUGGAAGCACAAUAGGGUUAAAAUGUCGACUACACCAAGCUCCCUUAUUUAGUGCUUUGUGUCACAGAUAAACCCUUGUAAUUCAUUGUAUUUAUGAAUAUGAUUAUAUUGCUUGAUGUAUAUAUUGAAAUAUUAACCCCCCCCCAGUCUUAUAAACUCCAUAAUCUUUCCAAUUUCAUACAGACAUGAAUAUAUACAUAUUCACACACACAUAUAUAUGUAUAUAUAUAUAUAUGUAUAUAUAUAUAUAUAUAUAUAUAUUAUAUAUAUAUAUAUAUAUAUAUGCAUGUAUACCCACAUAUUUAUGUAUAUAUAUAUGUAUGUAUGUAUAUAUAUAUAUAUUAAUUAACAAUGGUGUUAUAUAGCGUCCGGUUUUAGUACCCAGUAAACUCGGUUGUAAUGGAUCUAUAAUAUUGUAUAUUUUGAUUACUACACAUACACACGCGCGUUCACACACACAUACACACAUAUAUGUGGCAUAAAUGAGUAGUACCUGUAUUUCAAAGGAGCAGGCUUGUCACAUUCUGUCUCACGCCGAAUCUUCCUCAGAACGUCGUUAAGUUACAUGUGUCGGCUAUUAACACCUUAAUUUCACAAGGAGGCUGUUCCGAGAGAGAGAGAGAGAGAGGAGAAAGGGAGGUAGAGACAGGAUGAUAAGUUGUAAGUUGUAGCACAGAAUAGAUACGCACCAGGUAAAUUCUUGGACAGACCAAAAUUUUCAACUGCAACUUCUUAAUCACGAUGAGGUAUGUCACAAAGAGUUGAGUUUUUUGAAGAAAACUUAUUAAAGAGGGAAGAAGGAGAAACAGUUGUAGAGUAAGGAAUACAUUUAUUUAAGUUGUUACAUAUAUUUGGAUGAUGAAACACAACUUUACAACUGUUUCAAAUAUUCUGUAAAUGGCUGAUAUUAUAAUGCAUAUGAUGUAAUCGGGCGUACGUUAAGCGAUAACAUAACUAGAAAGCAUAUUAUGAGCACGUGGGAAACCAUAUUAACCACACAAGAAUCGCCAUACUUGGAUAUCUUCAUGCAAGAAAUAGAGAACAUUCCUGUAUGUUUAAUAUGAAUUAUAACAUUAACUUUUUACUGAAUAUUUAAAUCGACUAUUAUCCAGGUAUUAGAUGUAACAUUUCAUGUUAGUACAUUCAGUUAUUAAAUGUAACAUAUAUUAAUACAUUCUUUACACCUGUAUAUUUAUAUAUAUAUGCAUACAUUCAUAUAUACAUACAUAUUUGUUUGAAUAUUUUUAUAUAAAUAUUUCGGCUGUAUGUCGAAUAUGUCUUGGUAAUAGAUAAGGUAUUUUCUUUGACCCUCCCCACCCUCUCUCACUCUCUCUCUCCCUCUGUUUCCUCCCUUCUCUACAAUGGGAUUGUGGACCAAAGAUCGCUGUACAGAUUGCAAAUUUUGAAGAAUGUUGUUGGCAAACCUGAUAUAUUGGAUCUUUCUUUAGAUUUUCUCUCUUUCAUUUUUCUUUCAUCCAAUUCGACUUUGUAAUUUUUACUCCUACUAUAACUUUCCACCAUCGUUAGCGGUGUUUCACUGUCUUAAUCUGCAGAGUUGCAAUUAAGCUAUUUAGUUUACUGAGAUAUCAUUUGAUGAUAUGCUUAAACUACGUCUCAGGCGUCCUUUUCGCCGUCUUCCAUAUUUCGUUUUGUAUGGCAUUGCUUCAGGUAACCUAACCUUGUUCAUUCAUAUUACAUUUCUCCCUCAUCAAAACUGAAUUCUUUCUAUCAGCAAAUACUCAACAGUAGAUAUCAGCGCGCUGCUGGGUCUCCUGGUAAGAGAUAUAGUCUAGUAAAGAAGUGUUCAUUAUAGCUGCAGAUGGUACAAUUGGCAGGUCACCAGUUUUUGAUAUGUCGACGAUACGGUCCCAGCUGAAUAUAGCGAAUUGGAUAGAACAAAGGAUCGAUAUACUUCCUCCGUUUUUUCUACUAUCGAUAACUGAUGCUCCCGCAAACAAUUAUUGUUGUUUAUAUACGACAAUUCUCAUCUGCGUCCAACCUGUUGCUAUCUGAAGGCGUACUGCUCAAAUUUGUAAAAUUCAUCACCAGGCUUACAUCAUAAUGGUCAGAUAUUCUAGUUUCGAUUGAUACAAAACUUCGGUCUUCGCUAUAUUCAUCGAUGGGCGGGAAGCUGUCGACGCUCAUUCUAAAUGAUACGCUAUUUUGUGUAUGUCUUCUAGGGAAAGAAUCACUGGUAGUGAGUCAUGAGCUAAGAGAAGUUCGCGAAGACAUAUCACGGCAUAUCUUAAUAGGUGUUAGUGCAGA